rnacentral:lncRNA from 1 species
CUGGAAACAAAGAUCAUUUUCUUUUCCUCCCUUCCCCCCCUCCCACCACCUUUCCCUCUCCCAUAGCCGACACACGAUUCCACUGGUUAUCACAUGUGUUCUUGACUCAAACCCAUUUCCCUGUUGUUGGUAUUUGCAUUAGAGUGUUCAGUUAGAGUCUCUCCACAGUCAUAUUCCCUCAACCCCUGUAGUCAAGCAGUUGCUUUUCAUCCGUGUUUUUACUCCCACAGUUUAUCCUCUGCUUGUGGAUAGUAUUUUUUAGAUCCCUGCAGAUUGUUCAGGGACAUUGCAUUGACACUAAUGGAGAAGUCCAUCACCUUCGAUUGUACCACAGUGUAUCAGUCUCUGUGUACAAUGUUUUCCUGGUUCUGCUCCUUUCGCUCUGCAUCACUUCCUGGAAGUUGUUCCAGUCUCCAUGGAAUUCCUCCACUUUAUUAUUCCUUUGAGCACAAUAGUAUUCCAUCACCAACAUAUACCACAAUUUGCUCAGCCAUUCCCCAAUUGAUGGGCAUCCCCUCAUUUUCCAAUUUUUGGCCACCACAAAGAGCACCGCUAUGAAUCUUCUUGUACAAGUCUUUUUCCUUAUUAUCUCUUUGGGGUACAAACCCAGCAGUGCUAUAGCUGGAUCAAAGGGCAGACAGUCUUUUAUCACCCUUUGGGCAUAGUUCCAAAUUGCCCUCCAAAAUGGUUGGAUCAGUUCACAACUCCACCAGCAAUGAAUUAGUGUCCCCACUUUGCCACAUCCCCUCCAGCAUUCAUUACUUUCCAUAGCUGUCAUGUUAGCCAAUCUGCUAGGUGUGAGGUGAUACCUCAGAGUUGUUUUGAUUUGCAUCUCUCUGAUUAUAAGAGAAUUAGAACACUUCUUCAUGUGCUUAUUAAUAGUUUUGAUUCCUUUGGCUGAGAACUGCCUGUUCAUGUCGCUUGCCCAUUUGUCAAUUGGAGAAUGGCCCCUGGUGUUUAGCUCCGCCCAGAUGUUCAGCGCAACCGCCCCAAGUACAGCUCCGCUGACCCCCGUGCUCAGCGCCGAGUUCUCCUGUGAAACCACCCUGAGAUGUUUUUUCCUGGCAGUCUUCAGAUCCCAAGGACCCUGGAGUGCCCCUCCCCCCCCAGACAGAGACGUUCCUCACUCACUCUCUGUCCCAGUGAGCGCUCAGUCUGUUUCGUUCGGUGCCGGUGCCGGGGAGAGGAAGCGUGUGUCAUCUAGAUUGCAGCCAUGAUUACCCGGAAGUCCCAGGAAGAGUCUCUUCUAAUGAAUCAGAACUCAUGCAGAACAGGAUGAGAGAAGUGAGAAUUUUCUUGUUGGACUCUCAAUGUCAUUAUUGACAGCAGCUGAGAUUCAUCAAGCACACAAGACAGAAGUUAACAGAUCAUCAACAUUGGGAUCACUCUGUAAGAGGGUGUAAGCCAAAAACCAAGGGUGAAGAGAGGAGCAAGCAAGCAGAGAAGAUGUUGAACUCUCUGUUCAUUGGACUUUGACCUCAGUUUUCAUUGCUAAUGCUCAAUAGAAAGCUUUUUGAGGCAACACUUCUCAUUUUCAGCAGUAUUAUCGUGGCAGGUAACUUGCUGCUGAAGGGAGUAGGAGGGUAAAAGAACUAAAAUAUGAGACAUCAACAAAUGCAAAUAAAGGCACAUUUUUCUACCA